AUUCGCCCGCCGCGCGCGGGGGGCGGGGGCACGGGGGGCCUACGGGAGGCAGCAGUGAGGAAUAUUGGACAAUGGCCGAGAGGCUGAUCCAGCCAUGCCGCGUGCGGGAGGACGGCCCUAUGGGUUGUAAACCGCUUUUGUCGGGGGGCAAUAAGGUCUACGUGUAGACUGAUGAGAGUACCUGGCGAAUAAGCAUCGGCUAACUCCGUGCCAGCAGCCGCGGUAAUAAU
rnacentral:rRNA from 1 species